rnacentral:rRNA from 1 species
UGGGGAAUAUUGCACAAUGGGCGCAAGCCUGAUGCAGCCAUGCCGCGUGUGUGAAGAAGGCCUUCGGGUUGUAAAGCACUUUCAGCGAGGAGGAAGGUGGUGAACUUAAUACGUUCAUCAAUUGACGUUACUCGCAGAAGAAGCACCGGCUAACUCCGUGCCAGCAGCCGCGGUAAUACGGAGGGUGCAAGCGUUAAUCGGAAUUACUGGGCGUAAAGCGCACGCAGGCGGUUUGUUAAGUCAGAUGUGAAAUCCCCGGGCUCAACCUGGGAACUGCAUUUGAAACUGGCAAGCUAGAGUCUCGUAGAGGGGGGUAGAAUUCCAGGUGUAGCGGUGAAAUGCGUAGAGAUCUGGAGGAAUACCGGUGGCGAAGGCGGCCCCCCUGGACGAAGACUGACGCUCAGGUGCGAAAGCGUGGGGCAGCAAACAGGAUUAGAUACCCUGGUAGUCCACGCUGUAAAACGAUGUCGAUUUGGAGGUUGUGCCCUUGAGGCGUGGCUUCCGGAGCUAACGCGUUAAAUCGACCGCCUAGGGAGUACGGCCGCAAGGUUAAAACUUAAAUGAAUUGAC